rnacentral:rRNA from 1 species
UACGGAAGGCAGCAGUGGGGAAUAUUGCACAAUGGGCGAAAGCCUGAUGCAGCUAUGCCGCGUGUAUGAAGAAGGCCUUAGGGUUGUAAAGUACUUUCAUCGGGGAGGAAAAACAAAACUAAUAAUUUUAUUUCUUGACGUUACCCGAAAAAGAAGCACCGGCUAACUCCGUGCCAGCAGCCGCGGUAAUACGGAGGGUGCUAGCGUUAAUCAGAAUUACUGGGCGUAAAGAGCACGUAGGUGGUUUUUUUAAGUCAGAUGUGAAAUCCCUGGGCUUAACCUAGGAACUGCAUUUUGAAACUGAAAUACUAGAGUAUCGUAGAGGGAGGUAGAAUUCUAGGUGUAGCGGUGAAAUGCGUAGAUAUCUGGAGGAAUACCUGUGGCGAAAGCGGCCUCCUAAACGAAUACUGACACUGAGGGUGCGAAAGCGUGGGGAGCAAACGAGGGAUUAGAUACCCGU